AUGGGGAUGUCCCUGGUCUAUGCAGCUGCCAGGGACCACAUGGAUGUCCAAGGGCUGUGCAGAACCAGCUCCAUCCCUUACUGGCUGCAGCAUUCUGGAGAAUCUGCCCCACUUCUCACUGGUGACAGCACAGUGGAGCUAGCCCUGUUGGCAGGGAGGGGGAUGGAGGGUCCCAUCUUCUGGGCCGUAAGUGAGCUGAAGGACUGCCCAUUGCAGCAGUUUCAUGACUUCAAGUUUGUGGACCACCUGGAAGGUCUGUCCCCGGUACAUGGCCGUGAUGGCUGGCUCCGAGGACGAUGGCCUUGAUAUUGAGGAGCUGGACACCCUGCAGCUGGAGCUUGAGGCCCUGCUGUCCUCUGCAAGCAGGCGACUGCGUGUCCUGGAAGCUGAAACCCAGAUCCUUACUGACUGGCAGGAUAAGAAAGGUUACCGAUGAUUCCUGAAGCUAGGUCUCCUGAAGCUAGGUUGAGACCGAGAGCUUGGUGCUCCCCCACAAACAAGGGAAACCUAAGAAGCAGAAACUGGAAGGGAAAACAGGACAUGGGCCAGGCUCUGGCCCAGGAUGACUCAAACUCAAAAACGUUCAACCCUAGAUCCAGAACUAUGAAUUUACUGAUGAUCCAAUCUAUGUGCCUUGGAUCUCCAAGAAUGAUGUUCCCAACAGGUUCUCGGCCUCUGUGGAGCCCUAUUGUGCCGACUUCACCAGUGGGGAGAUUCCCCCACUACGGAAACACUACUCCCAACGCUGGGCCCAGGAGGAUCUGCAAGAGGAACAGAAGGAUGGGGAUCGGGCAGCAGCUGUGGCUGACAAGAAGAAAGGCCUCAUAGGACCACUGACCGAACUGGACAAAAAAGAUGUGGAUGCCCUGAUGAAGAAGUCUGAAGCCCAACAUGAACACCCUUUGGUGCCCUGACACAGUGCCUAGUGCAGGCCCUAGUGGAGGAAAAUAUUAUUUCCCCUACAGAGGAUUCUCCUACUUCUGACAUGUCAGGGAAAGAAUCAGGAGCUGAUGGAGUAAGCACCUCCCGCCCCCACCCCCCAUUCAAUCAGAACAAGCCUUUCAGUGUGCCACAUUCCAAGUCCCUGGAGAGCCACAUCAAGGAGGAGCUGAUUGCCCAGGGCCUACUGGAGUCCAACGACCGGCCUGCUGAGGACUCAGAGGGUGAGGUCCUUGCUGAGUUGCACAAAUGGCAGGCUGAGCUGAAGGCACUCAGUGCACACAACUGCACCAAGAAGCAUGACCUGAUGAGAUUGGCAAAGGAGGAGGUGAGCCAGCCUGAGCUAAGGCAGCGUGUCUGCAUGGCAGACAGCGAGGUCAUGGAUGCCCUCUGAAAGAUCAUGGCUUCACGGCAGAAGAAGCACACCCCCACCAAGAAGGAAAAAGACCAGGCCUGGAAAAUCCUGAAGGAGCGAGAAAGCAUCCUGAAGCUCCUAGCGGGUAGCCUCACCUGCUGCUGGCCAUCUCCCUGGCCUGGCAGAAGUCUACUUCCUUUGAAGCCUUGGCCAGAGGCUACCUAUCAAAUGACAACAGCCUCAGGGCUGAAACACUUUCAGACCACUCAGCUGAGCUUUGUGCAGCCAGUAUGCAAGGCCUCCCUGAGCUUGCCUGGACCUAGCAUCUGCCCCAGAUGA